GGGCUAAUACCGGAUAAUAUUUUGAACUGCAUAGUUCGAAAUUGAAAGGCGGCUUCGGCUGUCACUUAUGGAUGGACCCGCGUCGCAUUAGCUAGUUGGUGAGGUAACGGCUCACCAAGGCGACGAUGCGUAGCCGACCUGAGAGGGUGAUCGGCCACACUGGGACUGAGACACGGCCCAGACUCCUACGGGAGGCAGCAGUAGGGAAUCUUCCGCAAUGGACGAAAGUCUGACGGAGCAACGCCGCGUGAGUGAUGAAGGCUUUCGGGUCGUAAAACUCUGUUGUUAGGGAAGAACAAGUGCUAGUUGAAUAAGCUGGCACCUUGACGGUACCUAACCAGAAAGCCACGGCUAACUACGUGCCAGCAGCCGCGGUAAUACGUAGGUGGCAAGCGUUAUCCGGAAUUAUUGGGCGUAAAGCGCGCGCAGGUGGUUUCUUAAGUCUGAUGUGAAAGCCCACGGCUCAACCGUGGAGGGUCAUUGGAAACUGGGAGACUUGAGUGCAGAAGAGGAAAGUGGAAUUCCAUGUGUAGCGGUGAAAUGCGUAGAGAUAUGGA
rnacentral:rRNA from 1 species